rnacentral:tRNA from 1 species
GGACCGUAGGCCUAAUGGUUAGGGCACCCCACUGUCUAUGGGAUAUUCAAACGGGUUCGACUCCCGUACGGUCCG